GCGGCGGAGCAUGUGGAUUAAUUCGAUGCAACGACGAAGAACCUUACCUGGGCGUUGACAUACACCAGAUCGGCGCAGAGAUGUCGUUUUCCCUUGUGGUUGGUGUACAGGUGGUGCAUGGCUGUCGUCAGCUCGUGUCGUGAGAUGUUGGGUUAAGUCCCGCAACGAGCGCAACCCUUGUCUUAUGUUGCCAGCACGUGAUGGUGGGGACUCAUGAGAGACUGCCGGGGUUAACUCGGAGGAAGGUGGGGAUGACGUCAAAUCAUCAUGCCCCUUAUGUCCAGGGCUUCACACAUGCUACAAUGGUCGGUACAACGCGUGUGCGACACUGUGAGGUGAAGCUAAUCGCUCUAAAGCCGGUCGUAGUUCGGAUUGGGGUCUGCAACUCGACCCCAUGAAGUCGGAGUCGCUAGUAAUCGUGGAUCAGCAUGCCACGGUGAAUACGUUCCCGGGCCUU
rnacentral:rRNA from 1 species